rnacentral:rRNA from 1 species
CCUACGGGAGGCUGCAGUGGGGAAUAUUGGGCAAUGGGCGCAAGCCUGAACCAGCAACGCCGCGUGAAGGAUGAAGGCUUUCGGGUUGUAAACUUCUUUUCUCAGGGACGAAGAUAGUGACGGUUCCUGAGGAAUCAGCCACUGCUAACUACGUGCCAGCCGCCGCGGUAAUACGGAGGGUGCCAGCACUAUCCGGAUUUACUGGGUGUAAAGGGCGUGUCGGGGGGAUUGGAAGUCAGAUGUGAAAGCCACGUGCUCAACCUUGGUACUGUAUUUGAAACUGUAGUUCUUGAGUGCGGGAGGGGAAGGGGGAAUGCGUGGUGUAGCGGUGAAAUGCGUAGAGAUCAGGAGGAA